UGGGUGUUUAUCAUCUCACAUCACCACCAGAAGAACCGUAAGACAGUACAAUAAGGACAGGAAGCGGCCUGCGGCGCGAAGCAAUCACAGCAAACCGCCCAGACCUGACUGACUCGCCCGCUGGUUCUCCAGCUACUGGGCAGCUAGAAGCUGCGCAGGAGGGCGCGUAUGUGGCUCCUGAGGUGGGUGUGCAGCUGAGAGCGGACAGCCGAGGGGCUGAGGGUGGCCGAGGCCCCUCCGAGCCAGCCGUGUGUGCUGCCCCAGGCGGGGACAGGGAAGGCGUCAGCAUGGCGCCAUCAGGGUCUACUACAGGCUGGUCUGCUUCUAUGGUACAUGAGCCCAUGGACUGUCUCUAUCCCAAACCAAAAGGAGAUGCUUCCAGGCAGGGAUGAAAAGCUAUCAAGCCACAUGACCACAUUCCUCUGGGGAAAAAGGCUCUUCACAUGGAUAAAGUGACAAGUGGCUUGCUUAAAAAUCACCAGUCCAAUACAAAUGGGAGCAGCUCCAGAGAAUGAAAUGAUUCAACUGAGUGUCUUGACUCACCCCUGGGGAAGGCAGCUGCCAUGUCUUGAGGACACUGAAGCGAUCCAUGAAGAGGCCCAUGGAGAAGAGCUGAAACACCUUCCAACAGCCAACACCAACUCGCCAGCUGAAUGAGUGAGCCAUCCUGGGAGCUGCCCCUGCAGCCACGAUGACCUUCGGAUAAUGCAGCCCUGGAGGACAAUGAUGACCCUCUCCUCAGAAGCUCUGAGCCAGAGCCAAAUUCUCAGCUCGUGGAAAUUGUGAGAGACAGUCAGUGAUUGGUAUUGUUUUAAGCCACUCAGUACGCAGGUUAGCAAUAAAUAACAAACCCA